CUUUUUCUUCCUCCCUCCUUCCCUCCUCUCCUCCUGCCUUCCCUUCCCCUUUCCUCCCCUCUCUCCUCCUUCUCCCCUCGGUCAGCCGGAGCCUGCUGGGGCGAGCGGUUGGUAUUGCAGGCGCUUACUCUCCGGGGCCGCCCGGCGAGUAGCUGGCCGGGGAAGGAGGCAGGAACCGCGAUGGCGCCUCAGAAGCACGGCGGUGGGGGAGGGGGCGGCUCGGGGCCCAGCGCGGGGUCCGGGGGAGGCGGCUUCGGGGGUUCGGCGGCGACGGCUUCGAGCGGCAAAUCCGGCGGCGGGGGCUGUGGAGGCGGUGGCAGUUACUCGGCCUCCUCCUCCUCCGCGGCGUUACCGGUGAAGAAGUCGAAAAUGGAGCACGUCCAGGCUGACCACGAGCUUUUCCUCCAGGCCUUUGAGAAAAUACAGGGGUUUCGGUUGUAGCUUUUGAGGGGCAAAAUGAAGCCUGUGAAGGGAUGAGUGCAGUGGAACCGAAGAAAGUGUCCUUAGUCUGAAAUGCCUUCGCGCUAACUUGGUGCUGCAGAGCCAACACAGAUCUAUAGAUUUCUUUGAACUCGGAAUCUCAUAGCACCAAUAUUUUUGCACAGAACUCUUACUUACAUGUCUCAUCGAAACUCCAGAACAAACAUCAAAAGGAAAACAUUUAAAGUUGAUGAUAUGUUAUCAAAAGUAGAGAAAAUGAAAGGAGAGCAAGAAUCUCAUAGAAAAAGAGGAAUCCAGUCGGGCUCGGUGGCUCACACCUAUAAUCCCAGCUACUUGGGAGGCUGAGACAGGAGAAUCGCUUGAACUCGGGAGGUGGAGGUUGCAGUGAGCCAAGAUUGCGCCAUUACACUCCAACCUGGGCGAGAAGAGCGAAACCUCAUCUCAA
ensembl:lncRNA novel transcript